rnacentral:rRNA from 1 species
UACGUAGGGGGCUAGCGUUGUCCGGAAUCAUUGGGCGUAAAGAGCGUGUAGGCGGCCCGGUAAGUCCGCUGUAAAAGUCAAAGGCUCAACCUUUGAAUGUCAGUGGAUACUGCCGGGCUAGAGUCCGGAAGAGGCGAGUGGAACUCCUGGUGUAGCGGUGGAAUGCGCAGAUAUCAGGAAGAACACCAACGGCGAAGGCGGGUCUCUGGGCAGUAACUGACGCUGAGGAGCGAAAGCGUGGGGAGCGAACAGG